rnacentral:rRNA from 1 species
GGCCACAUUGGGGAUUGAGACAACGGACCCAAACUCCUACGGGAGGCAGCAGUGGGGGAAUAUUGGACAAUGGGGGGAAACCCUGAUCCCAGCGACGCCGCGUGAGUGAAAGAAGUAUUUCGGUAUGUAAAGCUCUAUCAGCAGGGAAGAAAAAUGACGGUACCUGACUAAAGAACCCCCGGGCUAACUACGUGCCAGCAGCCGCGGUAAUACGGUAGGGGGGCAAGCGUUAUCCCGGAUUUUACUGGGUGUAAAGGGGAGCGCAGACGGCAAUGCAAGUCUGAAGUGAAAAGGCGUGGGGCUCAACCCAUGAACUGCUUUUGGAAAACUGUAUAGCUUGAGUGUCGGAGGGGUAAGCGGAAUUCCUAGUGUAGCGGUGAAAUGCGUAGAUAUUAGGAGGAACACCGGAGGCGAAGGCGGCUUACUGGACGACAAUGACGUUGAGGCUCGAAGGCGUGAGGAGCAAACAGG